rnacentral:rRNA from 1 species
CCUACGGGUGGCAGCAGUAGGGAAUAUUGCGCAAUGGGGGAAACCCUGACGCAGCAACGCCGCGUGGAGGAUGAAGGGUUUCGGAUUGUAAACUCCUUUUCUCAGAGACGAUAAUGACGAUAUCUCACGAAUAAGCACCGGCUAACACCUUCCCAGCAGCCGCGGUAGUACGGAGGGUGCAAGCGUUACUCGGAAUCACUGGGCGGAAAGGGCGCGGCGGCGGGCUUGGAAGGCAGAUGUGGAAUCCUAGGGGUGAACCACUGAACUUCUUUUGUAACUGGUGUUGUAGGGUAUGGGGGAGGUAAGUGGAAAUCUCGGGGGCAGGGUAAAA